rnacentral:rRNA from 1 species
UACGUAGGGGGCAAGCGUUAUCCGGAUUUACUGGGUGUAAAGGGAGCGUAGACGGCCAUGCAAGUCUGAAGUGAAAGCUCGGGGCUCAACCCCGGAACUGCUUUGGAAACUGUAAGGCUGGAGUGCAGGAGAGGUAAGCGGAAUUCCUAGUGUAGCGGUGAAAUGCGUAGAUAUUAGGAGGAACACCAGAGGCGAAGGCGGCUUACUGGACUGUAACUGACGUUGAGGCUCGAAGGCGUGGGGAG